UGCCGGACUGGAUAGGAAAUUAAGAGGCAUCUUUUAAUUUUUAAAAGACCUUUUUCGAAAGGUAUGCUUAAAGAGGGGCUUGCGCCACAUUAGUUAGUUGGUAAGGUAAAGGCUUACCAAGACGAUGAUGUGUAGCUGGACUGAGAGGUCGAACAGCCACAUUGGGACUGAGACACGGCCCAAACUCCUACGGGAGGCAGCAGUAAGGAAUUUUUGGCAAUGGAGGAAACUCUGACCGAGCGACGCCGCGUGAACAAUGAAGUACUUCGGUAUGUAAAGUUCUUUUAUUGAAAAAGAAAAAAUAGUGGAAAAACUAUCUUGACAUUAUUCAAUGAAUAAGCCCCGGCUAAUUAUGUGCCAGCAGCCGCGGUAAUACAUAAGGGGCGAGCGUUAUCCGGAAUUAUUGGGCGUAAAGGGUGCGUAGGCGGUUUGAUAAGUCUAUAGUUUAAAUGCAGUGCUUAACGCUGUAGCGCUAUAGAAACUGUCUGACUAGAGUUAGAUAGAGGCAAGCGGAAUUCCAUGUGUAGCGGUAAAAUGCGUAAAUAUAUGGAGGAACACCAGAGGCGUAGGCGGCUUGCUGGGUCUUAACUGACGCUGAGGCACGAAAGCGUGGGGAGCAAACAGGAUUAGAUACCCUGGUAGUCCACGCCGUAAACGAUGAGUACUAAGUGUCGGGUUUCGGCUCGGUACUGAAGUUAACACAUUAAGUACUCCGCCUGAGUAGUACGUACGCAAGUAUGAAACUUAAAGGAAUUGACGGGACCCCGCACAAGCGGUGGAUCAUGUUGUUUAAUUCGAAGAUACACGAAAAACCUUACCAGGUCUUGACAUAAUUUUGCGACAUUAUAGAAAUAUAAUGAAGGUUAUCAGAAUUACAGGUGGUGCAUGGUUGUCGUCAGCUCGUGUCGUGAGAUGUUAGGUUAAGUCCUAAAACGAGCGCAACCCUUGUCGUUAGUUGCGACCACGUAAUGGUGAGCACUUUAGCGAGACUGCCAAUGAAAAAUUGGAGGAAGGUGAGGAUUACGUCAAAUCAUCAUGCCCCUUAUGAUCUGGGCUACAAACGUGAUACAAUGGCUGUUACAAAGAGUAGCUACAACGUGAGUUUUUAGCCAAUCUCAAAAAAACAGUCUCAGUUCGGAUUGAAGUCUGCAACUCGACUUCAUGAAGUUGGAAUCGCUAGUAAUCGCGAAUCAGCAUGUCGCGGUGAAUACGUUCUCGGGGUUUCCAG
rnacentral:rRNA from 1 species